GGUGGGGCGAGCCUGCAGCCAGGCUCCUCUUGCACUUUCAGUCUUGCUAGGCAGUCCUGUCUUCUGGCCGCCUGCAAGUCGCUGUGAGCGUGAGGAGCGAGAGUCAGCAGCGAGGAGAUGGCGGCAGGAUUUUUCUUCUUAUCCAUGAAGUCCCUGACAAUAGUGGCCUCAGGGUCUGCUGUCUUCUGGCUGGGUGCCGUAGCGAUUGCGGCCUGCAUCAUAGGUGGGUUCACCUACUACUUCGUGAAGAAGCUCAAGGUUCACAAGAACAGAUAAUAAUACAGAAGCUGCAGAGAUGACCAGCGGCAGGCUGGCCCUGGACACCGGCUCCAGGAGGGGACAGGUCCGCCCAUCCUGCCUCUGGGUGUGGUUGGACCCCAGUGGCCAAACUCAUUAAAUAAAGCCUGGCA